rnacentral:rRNA from 1 species
AGUGAACGCUGGCGGCAUGCUUUACACAUGCAAGUCGAACGGUAACAGGCCGCAAGGUGCUGACGAGUGGCGAACGGGUGAGUAAUGCAUCGGAACGUGCCCAGUCGUGGGGGAUAACGCAGCGAAAGCUGUGCUAAUACCGCAUACGACCUAUGGAUGAAAGCGGGGGACCGUAAGGCCUCGCGCGAUUGGAGCGGCCGAUGUCAGAUUAGGUAGGUGGUGGGGUAAAGGCCUACCAAGCCGACGAUCUGUAGCCGGUCUGAGAGGACGACCAGCCACACUGGGACUGAGACACGGCCCAGACUCCUACGGGAGGCAGCAGUGGGGAAUUUUGGACAAUGGGCGCAAGCCUGAUCCAGCAAUGCCGCGUGCAGGAAGAAGGCCUUCGGGUUGUAAACUGCUUUUGUACGGAACGAAACGGCCUGGGUUAAUACCCUGGGCUAAUGACGGUACCGUAAGAAUAAGCACCGGCUAACUACGUGCCAGCCGCCGCAGUAACAC